rnacentral:rRNA from 1 species
UACGUAGGGUGCGAGCGUUGUCCGGAAUUAUUGGGCGUAAAGAGCUCGUAGGCGGUUUGUUGCGUCUAUCGUGAAAACCUGCAGCUUAACUGUGGGCUUGCGGUGGAUACGGGCAGACUUGAGUUCGGUAGGGGAGACUGGAAUUCCUGGUGUAGCGGUGAAAUGCGCAGAUAUCAGGAGGAAUACCGGUGGCGAAAGCGACUCUCUGGACGGCAACUGACGCUGAGGCACGAAAGCGUGGGGAGCAAACAGG